ensembl:snRNA Gm25321 predicted gene, 25321
GUGCUCGCUUCGGCAGCACAUAUACUAAAAAUUGGAACGAUACAGAGAAGAUUAACAUGGCCCCUGCGUAAGGAUGACACACAAAUUCAUGAAGCAUUCCAUAUUUUU